AACAGCAAAAUACUUAGUAUAAUUCAAAGUGUGUUUUUUAUUAAAAAAUAUCUUUCAAAUCUAUUGUAAAAUUUUGAUACAAUGCUAGUCUUGCCUGUUACUCUUUCAAGUAUGUACUAUACUCUCACUUAUAAUAUCUUAAAACUGGGUCAUAAUAAAAGGAUAACCAAACAAAUGAAAGACAAAUUUCUCCUAAUAAAAUAUUCUACGUAUUUCACAAUUAAUUUUUGUCUACUUCCCUUUUUAAAAACAUGAAAGCUUUUCUGAUAAAACCCCAUAUUACUAUGUUUACUGUGAAUUUCUCCCCUAUCAGAUUCCAAUACGUUCCUACAUUUUCAGGAAAACCUUGGUAAAAUUUACUCCUGCCAUUCUUUGAAACAUGAAGUAAUUUGUGAGAACUCAGUUAAACAUUAACUUGAUCAUCCAUUCGCAAACUUAACAGCCGCAUAAAGUGUGACAAUAAAAGUAACCACAGAAUGCGUGGUUACCACUCCUUUAGUUUUAUAUUUAUGAAUGACUGAUUAACUAUAAAAAUAUGAUGAACAACUCUGACAUGCAUCGCAGGUCCCUUGCCUGCCCAACCAUUGGUACUGAAAGAAUACACAAGAGACCUAUAAAACAAUAAGUCCUUUCAAGCCAACAUAACACAGCGAAACAAGCUACAGUACAGUUAUUGCAAUUGCAAAAACACAAAGGUAUUUUAAAUUUCUGAUGCCUUUGCUGAACACUGUUCUGUUAAAAGACUGUUCAUCACUUUUUAUCCUCGCCUGGAAGUCAUACUCAAUGGGUUAUAACAGUCUAACAGAAGCUUUGCUAGAGAUCAAGUCUCUGAAAGUUUCUGGUUUUAUUUCUGUUAUUUUCUUUGCUCGCUUGUCCGAUAAAGGCAUAUGCUUGUAUAGUAACAGCAGAAUGCAAUAUGACAUGCUUUCUUUGGAACCCAAAAUCAUGUUUUAACAACUAACCUAAUAACGCAUGAAAGUUACAUUAUGGAGCAACAGUUGCUAUAGCAGUUAUAAAGAAGGAUGCAAUAUUGGCAUUACUUUAAAUGUGGGCAGGUAGUAGCUAGAGGCGUACACGGCGGUUACACACGUUUAUUUACACCUCUGAUCGUUUAAUCGAUGAACUUGUUGGCAAUACGUAAACAUUUGGCAUUGCUCUGCACUUAGCAAAAUCGUGGAGAUAGUUUAAACAACACCCCUAAUAAUUAACCUGACUUGCUGACUAAACCAUAAUAAUUAAUUACUUUAAUACACGUUUACACCUAAUCUAACGCAUAAAGUGUAACGUGACGGAAGACUUUAACCAGUGACAAAGCUGUGAUGUAUUUUAAACAUAGUAGCAUGCAGAUAUAUAUAGUAAAAUGUUACUUACGUUUUGCAGAUGAUUAUCAUUUGGCCUUUGCACCAUACGAGCAGCUGCUCUGGCAACCUGCAAACGCUCCGCAUAUAAACAUGUUGUUUGCAGCGCCCACGUGCGGUCUCGUAAUUAUAGAGUAAAAAAAUAAUUCUCAGCAUGACAGGGGACGAAUUAAUUUUUCCCGCCUUUUCAAUUUUAAAUAUUUUUUUAAAACGUGGCUUAAACGAACGCAUUUUAUUCCUGAGUACGGAUUUAACCUUUUUGCCUAAAUAUACAUCAGUGCAAAAUAUCUGGUAACUUAUUUAUUUAAAAGAAUACAAAAUGUAUAAUACAUAAAAUUUCGUCAACAUUUUGUCGAAUUUGCAAUCAAAUAAUAAAAUCUCUUUACA